CUGAAUACUUUUAAUUACAGAGCAAGAAAUUGAUGAGGAAAGUUUUUACUGUCUUAAUGAUCAAGAAAUUGAAAAAAUGAUCCCAAAAGCGGGACCCAGGACAAAAUUCAAGGAGAGACUCAGGUUGUUAAAGAAACAAAAUAUAAGAAAUCCAGACACAGGUGAUUCUUUCGCUCAAUGUCAACAGAAGCAUGAAGAAGCAGUUUUUUCUGUUCAGGAUUGUCCUUCCACAAGUGGCAC